rnacentral:tRNA from 1 species
GGGUGAUUAGCUCAGCUGGGAGAGCACCUGCCUUACAAGCAGGGGGUCGCAAGUUCAAACCUUGCAUCGCCCACCA